AUUCGAUAUGUCAUCGUCAAAUGUAUAAAUGGGGUUUUUAAUCCAAAAAAGGUUUGGGGGCGAAAGGCGGACGGGGGCGGGCGUGUGCCGACCGAGUGUCGUGACCAAGGGCCGCGUCGGCAGGGGCGGCCCGGGGGAGCCGGGGCCGUCCCGGGCGCAUAAUGCGGAGAGCAACGGCUCAGGCCCGCAAGGGAGCAGGCAAAAUCUCCCGCGCGGUCACAGUGGCUCCGAUAGCACUCGCGAGCACGCCACCCAAACGCCCACCGCCAAGCUUUUUGCCAAAAAUU
rnacentral:SRP_RNA from 1 species